UUCGGGCCUCUCGCGUCAGGAUAUGCCUAGGUGGGAUUAGCUAGUUGGUGAGGUAAGGGCUCACCAAGGCGACGAUCCCUAGCUGGUCUGAGAGGAUGAUCAGCCACACUGGAACUGAGACACGGUCCAGACUCCUACGGGAGGCAGCAGUGGGGAAUAUUGCACAAUGGGCGCAAGCCUGAUGCAGCCAUGCCGCGUGUGUGAAGAAGGCCUUCGGGUUGUAAAGCACUUUCAGUCGUGAGGAAGGUAGUGUAGUUAAUAGCUGCAUUAUUUGACGUUAGCGACAGAAGAAGCACCGGCUAACUCCGUGCCAGCAGCCGCGGUAAUACGGAGGGUGCGAGCGUUAAUCGGAAUUACUGGGCGUAAAGCGCAUGCAGGUGGUUUGUUAAGUCAGAUGUGAAAGCCCGGGGCUCAACCUCGGAAUAGCAUUUGAAACUGGCAGACUAGAGUACUGUAGAGGGGGGUAGAAUUUCAGGUGUAGCGGUGAAAUGCGUAGAGAUCUGAAGGAAUACCGGUGG
rnacentral:rRNA from 1 species